GAUGAACGCUGGCGGCAUGCCUAACACAUGCAAGUCGAUCGGUAAGGCUCUUCGGAGUACACGAGAGGCGGACGGCUGAGUAACGCGUAGGAACACACCCUGCAGUGAGGGAUAAGACACCGAAAGGUGUUCUAAUACCGCAUACGGUCUUCGGAUUAAAGCAUUUAUGCGCUGAAGGAGUGGCCUGCGUCAUAUUAGAUAGUUGGCGAGGUAAUGGCUCACCAAGUCGAUGAUGUGUAGCUGGUCUGAGAGGAUGAUCAGCCAGACUGGAACUGAGACACGGUCCAGACUCCUACGGGAGGCAGCAGUGAGGAAUAUUUCACAAUGAGCGAAAGCUUGAUGGAGCAAUGCCGCGUGCAGGAUGAAGGCCCUCGGGUUGUAAACUGCUUUUAUAAGAGAAGAUUAUGACGGUAACUUAUGAAUAAGGGACGGCUAACUACGUG
rnacentral:rRNA from 1 species